rnacentral:rRNA from 1 species
UACAGAGGGUGCAAGCGUUGCUCGGAAUACUGGGCGUAAAGGGUGCGUAGGCGGGUCUUUAAGUCAGGGGUGAAAUCCUGGAGCUCAACUCCAGAACUGCCUUUGAUACUGAGGAUCUUGAGUUCGGGAGAGGUGAGUGGAACUGCGAGUGUAGAGGUGAAAUUCGUAGAUAUUCGCAAGAACACCAGUGGCGAAGGCGGCUCACUGGCCCGAUACUGACGCUGAGGCACGAAAGCGUGGGGAGCAAACAGGG